rnacentral:rRNA from 1 species
GAUGAACGCUGGCGGCGUGCCUAAUACAUGCAAGUCGAGCGAACAGACGAGGAGUUUGCUCCUCUGACGUUAGCGGCGGACGGGUGAGUAACACGUGGAUAACCUACCUAUAAGACUGGGAUAACUUCGGGAAACCGGAGCUAAUACCGGAUAAUAUAUUGAACCGCAUGGUUCAAUAGUGAAAGACGGUUUUGCUGUCACUUAUAGAUGGAUCCGCGCCGCAUUAGCUAGUUGGUAAGGUAACGGCUUACCAAGGCAACGAUGCGUAGCCGACCUGAGAGGGUGAUCGGCCACACUGGAACUGAGACACAGUCCAGACUCCUACGGGAGGCAGCAGUAGGGAAUCUUCUGCAAUGGGCGAAAGCCUGACGGAGCAACGCCGCGUGAGUGAUGAAGGUCUUCGGAUCGUAAAACUCUGUUAUUAGGGAAGAACAAAUGUGUAAGUAACUAUGCACAUCUUGACGGUACCUAAUCAGAAAGCCACGGCUAACUACGUG